rnacentral:tRNA from 1 species
GCAUCUGUAGUUCAGUGGCAGAACCUUAGCUUCCCAAGCUAAUGAUACGGGUUCGAUUCCCGCCAGAUGCUCCA